rnacentral:rRNA from 1 species
UACAGAGGUCUCGAGCGUUGUUCGGAUUCAUUGGGCGUAAAGGGCGCGUAGGCGGCGGGGUAAGUCUGGUGUGAAAUCUCGGAGCUCAACUCCGAAAUUGCACUGGAUACUGCUCUGCUAGAGGACUGGAGAGGAGACUGGAAUUGCCGGUGUAGUGGUGAAAUGCGUAGAGAUCGGCAGGAACACCCAGGGGGAAACCAGCCGACUGGGCAAGUGCUGACGCUGAGGUGCGAGAGCGUGGGGAGCGAACCGG